rnacentral:rRNA from 1 species
UACAGAGGUCUCAAGCGUUGGUCGGAAUCACUGGGCGUAAAGGGUGCGUAGGCCGCACGGUAAGUCAGAGGUGAAAUCCCGGAGCUCAACUUCGGAAUUGCCUCCGAUACUGCCGUGCUUGAGGACUGGAGAGGAGAUUGGAAUUCACAGUGGAGCAGUGAAAUGCGUAGAUAUUGUGAGGAACACUAGUGGCGAAGGCGAAUCUCUGGACAGUUCCUGACGCUGAGGCACGAAGGCCAGGGGAGCAAACGGG